CAGUAGCCGCGGUAAUACGGAGGGAGCUAGCGUUGUUCGGAAUUACUGGGCGUAAAGCGCACGUAGGCGGUUAUUCAAGUCAGAGGUGAAAGCCCUGGGCUCAACCUCGGAACUGCCUUUGAAACUAGAUGACUGGAAUCUUGGAGAGGUCAGUGGAAUUCCGAGUGUAGAGGUGAAAUUCGUAGGGAUUCGGAAGAACACCAGUGGCGAAGGCGACUGACUGGACAAGUAUUGACGCUGAGGUGCGAAAGCGUGGGGAGCAAACAGGAUUAGAUACCCCCGUAGUCCCUGUCUCUUAUAC
rnacentral:rRNA from 1 species